GGCAAUAUCCCAAAACCAAAAGCCUUAUGAAAUGGAACCGGGAUCCUCUCCUCAUAGAGAGCUUCCUAAUACUUACUUAUAAGAAGAUCCUGGCCAUUCAUUUUUAUUCAACGGGUAAGAUCUCUUCAACCAAUAUUAAAGCCUAUUUUCUCACAAGUCCAUCUCAUUCUCUCUCACAACUAAUAUCUCGCAUUCUCCUUUGGAACCAUAAAUUCUCGUCAGGCGUCCUCCUUGACCCCCCGCCGACGUCUUCUCGCAACGGUUGGGCUCUCUCUCUCUCUCUCUCUCUCUCUCUAUGGCUAGCGAGCUUGAAGAAUAAGAUCCCUCCUAUGUCCUUUUUCUCAGGUACGGUUUGAAUCCUUAGGAAAGCAACGAGACCAGAAACAUAACCUUGGUAAAGACAGUAUGUGGAAAGACAUGUUUCAGGAAUCCAUGUUCCAAUCUCGUUCUAUUGCUACAGUGGAUGUAUGCCUAUUUUGGAUGCAUUUGUAGUAACCCAGCAUGUAAACUACUUUUACAGAAAGGAGACAUUGUUUGGGUGAUCUGUAGACUUUUGUUUUCCUUCGCAUAUUUCUUAUCCUGAAGGGAGUUGCUUUUACCUUCCUCCUUAGUUUGUAACCAGAGUAGCAACAAUGCUACCAAUGAAGUAAAUCUAUAGCAUAUUAACCAAGUUGCAUAUGCAGAAAUACUGGUGUACUUUUGAAGUACCCAACUUUGCUUCUUUUCUC
rnacentral:lncRNA from 1 species